rnacentral:piRNA from 1 species
UAAAAUGCUUCUCUGACCAAGACUGGGAGC